UCACUCUUACACCACCGGCAAUUGGGGUUCCGGGAACAGAGAGAUCCCGAUACCAUCUCAUUGCAAAUGGGGAUCUGCCGACGAGAGUCUCUCUGUGCAGCUAAUAGGGAGCGAUGCCAAGAAAAUGGUAAUGGGUAUUUGUUAGUUGUAGUGUAGGACGAUGAAGACUGGAGUAUAAAUGCAAGGAAGAUAAGGAGGACGGGGAAGGAGAUGGUAGAGUGGACUGCUACCAUGUUGAGAUAUAAAAGAUGGCAAUUUGAUUCCGAUUGGACAAAAUUGGACUUUCCAAUUUGAGCAAAAUUUGGGGUCCAGAAGGCUUUGCAGUCUCUUUCGUCUUGUUUUGAGCAGAGAUUAGUUCCCUUCGCCGUUGCGAUCAGAUGCAAAGAGCAGGUGAUGAGUUGCUGCGGUCGCU
rnacentral:misc_RNA from 1 species